GUCUGAGGCACCAGGGAAGCCCACCAAGAGGCAUGCGUGAUGUUCAUGUGAUACAGUUGUAACAACUUAGGUUGGACUUUUGAUUGAUAGACGGUGCUGGUGGUGGGUUUUUCUGAGCAUCCCUCUGUGACACUUCACAUUAUAAAACAUAAUAUUUACCUUUUAUUUGAUACGACCUGAUGAGCCACUUCUUUUGUGGCUAGUAGAGCAGGAAGACUAAGAUACCAGCUCUUAGGUUUGAAACCAACAUCUGCCAUUUACUAUGCAAUUUCAGGUGGAAGCUUACUUAUCCCCUGUGUCCCAAGAAAUUACCCUCACCCCUUGGCCACAUUUCUGCUGGGAAACCGGAGACUAAAGUCUUCUCCUUGAACCAGCAGCUGGAGACUGUGAAGGGCCUUUGGGGCCCUGGCUCCUGCCUGGGGCUACCACCACCCUGGCUGAAGGUGGGAUGAGAGCAAAGAAACCUGAAAUAUCCUGGUCCUACUCCUCAAAGCUGCCACUUUUGACCCUCUCUGAUUUUGGUUCCACAUCAAAACUCUUUAUUUCCGUAGAAAGGGUACAUAUUGUGAAGCUUAAAAAAAAAAGUUGAAUUGUGUACAAAUGACAUGGCAUAUUGUAUUGUUUUACUAAGCGUAAUUGACCCAUCAUAGCUUUUAGGAUCAGACUUUAUCAAAAUUGCAGCAGAAUGCUCUACAACGUGGAUAUUUAGGGUAAAAGUAGGUUUUUAGCACCUGACCCAACCAUGAACAGCUUCAUCCCGACCAU